rnacentral:lncRNA from 1 species
AUCCAAUAGAAUCCCUGCUCCUAGCUUGCGCCUUUUUCCCUAUAUAAGGACCCCUUUCCCUUGGCUCGGGGCGCUUAGCCACACAGAAGCUAAGUCGCCCCGGGUACCCGAGUCUCUAAUAAAGCCUCUUGUUUUUGCAUCCAGUUCGUGGCCUCGCUGAUUCCUGGGUGUGGGUCUCCCUCUACGAAAGUACCUCUUCGGGGGUCUUUCAUUUGGGGGCUCGUCCGGGAUAGAGACCCCCCACUCAGGGACCACCGACCCACGUUUGGGAGAUUACGAGGCACCUCGGUUCCCGCACCUGGACCAGUGAGCGAGAUGCUCAGAUAUAAAACCUGCCGCCUGCCAGAACCUGGCCGAGACCGUGGACAAAGCUGCUGGACGCUGGAAAAUUGAUUGUACCCCUUUGCCUAGACAAAACAAGACAUCUGAAUAUCAGUUGCAGACUACAGGCUGUUCUAAGUAGACUGCGAGCCCUGGACUUGCUAUGGAUAUGAACCAGUCUGCUGAUGUGGACACCCCCUACCUCUGCAACAGUGUCUGCUAACCAGAAGCCCCUGAUGGAUUCCCCAUUGCCCAAAUUCCUUUUUGCUUUUGACUAGCAUUUCAACCUUCUGGGAUCCCUAACUUCGUCCCAAAGUCAGCAGGAAGCAGUUUGGAAAGAAAUUUUGCCGUCCAUUUUCCCUGGUUAGAAUGCUAAGUCAAAAGGAACUCCCUUGCAUGGGGAUGCGAAACGACAGGGGAUGCUCACUGGAAGCCUUCAUCCUCAUGGGACAAGAUUCAGGUAACCAGAGGAUGGCAAAAGGGCUCCACCGGUACCACCUCUAUGCCUCUCCUUAUUUC